UACGUAGGGGGCAAGCGUUGUCCGGAAUCAUUGGGCGUAAAGAGCGUGUAGGCGGCCCGAUAAGUCCGCUGUGAAAGUCCAGGGCUCAACCCUGGGAUGCCGGUGGAUACUGUCGGGCUCGAGUCCGGAAGAGGAGUGUGGAAUUCCUGGUGUAGCGGUGAAAUGCGCAGAUAUCAGGAGGAACACCGGUGGCGAAGGCGGGUCUCUGGGCCGAUACUGACGCUGAGGAGCGAAAGCGCGGGGAGCGAACAGG
rnacentral:rRNA from 1 species